rnacentral:rRNA from 1 species
GACGCUGGCGGUAGGCCUUAUACAUGCAAGUCGAGCGAGAAAGUAUCUUCGGAUAUGAGUAGAGCGGCGGACGGGUGAGUAACGCGUAGGAAUCUACCUAGUAGAAGGGGAUAGCCCGGGGAAACUCGGAUUAAUACCGUAUACCUCCUUAGGGAGAAAGAGGGCCUCUCUUUGAUGCUCUUGCUACUAGAUGAGCCUGCGUAAGAUUAGCUAGUUGGUGAGGUAAUGGCUCACCAAGGCGACGAUCUUUAGCUGGUCUGAGAGGACGAUCAGCCACAUUGGGACUGAGACACGGCCCAGACUCCUACGGGAGGCAGCAGUAGGGAAUAUUGGACAAUGAGCGCAAGCUUGAUCCAGCCAUACCGCGUGUGUGAAGAAGGCUUUCGGGUUGUAAAGCACUUUAAGCAGGGAGAAAAAGUUAUAGGUUAAUACCCUAUGACCGUGAUGUUACCUGCAGAAUAAGCACCGGCUAAUUCCGUGCCAGCAGCCGCGGUAAUACGGAAGGUGCAAGCGUUAAUCGGAAUUACUGGGCGUAAAGCGCGCGUAGGUGGUUUGUUAAGUUGGAUGUGAAAGCCCUGGGCUCAACCUAGGAACUGCAUCCAAAACUAACUCACUAGAGUACGAUAGAGGGAGGUAGAAUUCAUAGUGUAGCGGUGGAAUGCGUAGAUAUUAUGAAGAAUACCAGUGGCGAAGGCGGCCUCCUGGAUCUGUACUGACACUGAGGUGCGAAAGCGUGGGUAGCGAACAGGAUUAGAUACCCUGGUAGUCCACGCCGUAAACGAUGACAACUAGCUGUUGGGAGACAAUGUCUUUCAGUGGCGCAGCUAACGUUUUAAGUUGUCCGCCUGGGGAGUACGGCCGC